GUCCUUAGUUACCAGCACGUUAUGUGGGCACUCUAAGGAGACUGCCGGUGGACAAACCGGAGGAAGGUGGGGAUGACGUCAAGUCAUCAUGGCCCUUACGGCCUGGGCUACACACGUGCUACAAUGGUCGGUACAAAGGGUUGCCAAGCCGCGAGGUGGAGCUAAUCCCAUAAAACCGAUCGUAGUCCGGAUCGCAGUCUGCAACUCGACUGCGUGAAGUCGGAAUCGCUAGUAAUCGUGAAUCAGAAUGUCACGGUGAAUACGUUCCCGGGCCUU
rnacentral:rRNA from 1 species